rnacentral:lncRNA from 1 species
CAAUGAUUCUUGUGGAUCCAAGAACUGAAGGACUUUUCCUCCCAAACACAGGAGCCAACAGCGAUGAGGACCUGUGUGAUGUGUAGAACUCUGGAGCUUCCUUGCCAGUGGUACUUGGCCCAGUUACAAUUGCUUGAAUCUCCAGGACUGUCAGCAGCAGUGAGCUUGGGGACUCCUUGGGACAAGCUGAACCCAGGCUACUGAUCUCUGGAAGAACCUGAUUUAACAGGGUCAGCUCCUCUCUGCCUCACCUCUGGGUGUGCUCUGUCCCGGAAGGACCCCUGCAGCAGCUCCUUAAAACAGGGCCAUCUGCACCGUCCCAGGUCACACCACGACUUGCACUGUGUUCCAGAGAAACUCUGAGCCACUUAAUUUUCAAAAAUGCCCUCUGCGGCCCUGCAGGCCAAAACAUUCUUCUCUACUUGGAUAACUUGCAUUCCUCUUUCAAAUUUAGGUUGUCAGCCUUUUGGGAUGCUUUCUG